GGUCAAGCGACUAAGCGCAUACGGUGGAUGCCUUGGCAAUUGGAGGCGAUGAAGGACGUUGGAGCCUGCGAAAAGUGUGGGGGAGUCGGCAACCAGACUUUGAUCCCGCGAUGUCCGAAUGGGGAAACCCACCCGUCAUAAGGCGGGUAUCUCUUAACUGAAUACAUAGGUUUUGAGAGGCGAACCCGGGGAACUGAAACAUCUAAGUACCCGGAGGAAAAGAAAUCAACCGAGAUUCCCUUAGUAGCGGCGAGCGAACGGGGACUAGCCGAGCAGCGACUGAUUAGUGGAACGGUCUGGAAAGUCCGGCGAUACAGGGUGAUAGCCCCGUACACGAAAAUCUGAGCUGACGUAUUAAGUAGGUCGGGACACGUGAUAUCUUGACUGAAGAUAGGGGGACCAUCCUCUAAGGCUAAAUACUCCCAAUUGACCGAUAGUGAACCAGUACCGUGAGGGAAAGGCGAAAAGAACCCCGGAGAGGGGAGUGAAAUAGAACCUGAAACCGUAUGCGUACAAGCAGUAGGAGCAGACUUGUUCUGUGACUGCGUACCUUUUGUAUAAUGGGUCAGCGACUUAAUGUUUGUAGCGAGCUUAACCGUUUAGGGGAGGCGUAGGGAAACCGAGUCUUAAUAGGGCGAAUUAGUUGCAGGCAUUAGACCCGAACCCCGGUGAUCUAUCCAUGGCCAGGUUGAAGAUGCCGUAACAGGCAUUGGAGGACCGAACCCACAAAUGUUGAAAAAUUUGGGGAUGAGCUGUGGAUCGGAGUGAAAGGCUAAUCAAACCGGGAGAUAGCUGGUUCUCCUCGAAAUCUAUUUAGGUAGAGCGUCAUGUCUUACCCUGGGGGGUAGAGCACUGUUUGGGCUAGGGGGUCAUCCCGACUUACCAAACCCAUGCAAACUCCGAAUACCCAGGAGUACAAUCAUGGCAGACACACGGCGGGUGCUAACGUCCGUCGUGGAAAGGGAAACAACCCAGACCGCCAGCUAAGGUCCCAAAUGCUAGUUAAGUGGGAAACGAUGUGGGAAGGCUUAGACAGCUAGGAGGUUGGCUUAGAAGCAGCCAUCCUUUAAAGAAAGCGUAAUAGCUCACUAGUCGAGUCGGCCUGCGCGGAAGAUGUAACGGGGCUAAAUUAGCAACCGAAGCUGCGGAUGCACUAUGUGCAUGGUAGAGGAGCGUUCUGUACGCCUGCGAAGGUGAGUCGAGAGGCUUGCUGGAGGUAUCAGAAGUGCGAAUGCUGACAUGAGUAACGAUAAAGGGGGUGAAAAACCCCCUCGCCGGAAGACCAAGGUUUCCUGCCCCAUGCUAAUCAGGGCAGGGUUAGUCGGCCCCUAAGGUGAGGCUGAAAAGCGUAAUCGAUGGGAAACGGGUUAAUAUUCCCGUACUUGUUAUUACUGCGAUGGAGAGACGGAGUAGGCUAGGCGAUCGCGGCGUUGGUUGUCCGCGUUUAAGGUUGUAGGCUGGGGGAUUAGGCAAAUCCGGUCCCCUAAGGCUGAGAGCUGAUGACGAGUCCUCUUUUGGACGAAGUCGUUGAUGCCAUGCUUCCAAGAAAAUCUUCUAAGCUUCAGGUAAUAACGAACCGUACCCCAAACCGACACAGGUGGUCAGGUAGAGAAUACCAAGGCGCUUGAGAGAACUCGGGUGAAGGAACUAGGCAAAAUGGUACCGUAACUUCGGGAGAAGGUACGCCGGCUUGGGUGAUGGGACUUGCUCCCUAAGCCUAGGUUGGCCGAAGUGACCAGGUGGCUGCGACUGUUUAUCAAAAACAUAGCACUCUGCAAACUCGAAAGAGGACGUAUAGGGUGUGACGCCUGCCCGGUGCCGGAAGGUUAAUUGAUGGGGUUAGCUUCGGCGAAGCUCUUGAUCGAAGCCCCGGUAAACGGCGGCCGUAACUAUAACGGUCCUAAGGUAGCGAAAUUCCUUGUCGGGUAAGUUCCGACCUGCACGAAUGGCGUAACGAUGGCCACGCUGUCUCCACCCGAGACUCAGUGAAAUUGAAAUCGCUGUUAAGAUGCAGUGUACCCGCGGCUAGACGGAAAGACCCCGUGAACCUUUACUAUAGCUUCACAGUGGACUCUGAUAUUACUUGUGUAGGAUAGCUGGGAGGCUUUGAAACUGUGGCGCCAGCUGCAGUGGAGCCGACCUUGAAAUACCAGCCUGGUACUAUUGGGGUUCUAACUCUGGUCCAUUAUCUGGAUCGAGGACAUUGUGUGGUGGGUAGUUUGACUGGGGCGGUCUCCUCCCAAAGCGUAACGGAGGAGCACGAAGGUGCGCUAAUCAUGGUCGGAAAUCAUGAGGUUAGUGUAAUGGCACAAGCGCGCUUAACUGCGAGACUGACAAGUCGAGCAGGUACGAAAGUAGGUCAUAGUGAUCCGGUGGUUCUGUAUGGAAGGGCCAUCGCUCAACGGAUAAAAGGUACUCCGGGGAUAACAGGCUGAUACCGCCCAAGAGUUCACAUCGACGGCGGUGUUUGGCACCUCGAUGUCGGCUCAUCACAUCCUGGGGCUGAAGCCGGUCCCAAGGGUAUGGCUGUUCGCCAUUUAAAGUGGUACGCGAGCUGGGUUCAGAACGUCGUGAGACAGUUCGGUCCCUAUCUGCCGUGGGCGUUGGAGAUUUGAGGAAAGCUGCUCCUAGUACGAGAGGACCGGAGUGGACGAACCUCUGGUGUUCGGGUUGUCACGCCAGUGGCAUUGCCCGGUAGCUACGUUCGGACGGGAUAACCGCUGAAAGCAUCUAAGCGGGAAGCCUCUUCCAAGAUAAGAUCUCCCUGGGACCUUGAGUCCCCUAAAGAGCCGUUCAAGACUAGGACGUUGAUAGGCUGGGUGUGUAAGCGUUGUGAGGCGUUGAGCUAACCAGUACUAAUUGCUCGUGAGGCUUGACCAU
rnacentral:rRNA from 1 species